UACGGCCAUGUCACGUUGAACCAUCGAUUCUCGUAUGAUGACCGAAGUUAAGCAACGGCGAGCUUGGUUAGUACUGAGAUGGGUGACCACUUUGGAAUACAAAGUGCUGUAAU